rnacentral:rRNA from 1 species
UGGGGAAUAUUGGACAAUGGGGGCAACCCUGAUCCAGCCAUGCCGCGUGAGUGAUGAAGGCCUUCGGGUUGUAAAGCUCUUUCGGUGGGGACGAUGAUGACGGUACCCACAGAAGAAGCCCCGGCUAACUUCGUGCCAGCAGCCGCGGUAAUACGAAGGGGGCGAGCGUUGUUCGGAAUUACUGGGCGUAAAGGGCGCGUAGGCGGCGCACCAAGUCAGGCGUGAAAGCCCUGGGCUUAACCCAGGAAUUGCGUUUGAGACUGGCGUGCUGGAGUGCAGGAGAGGUCGGCGGAAUUCCCAGUGUAGAGGUGAAAUUCGUAGAGAUUGGGAAGAACACCGGUGGCGUAGGCGGCCGACUGGACUGUAACUGACGCUGAGGCGCGAAAGCGUGGGGAGCAAACAGG